GGCAAAUUCCUGCCUUGCAUGUGGCCAACUAUCUAAAGAGGGAAAUGCUGACAUGACAACAAGGGCCGAUGCAUUGGCGACACGGAGCAACAUCUCCGGUGGGAAUGAGAAAUUGCUUUUGUGCUCAUUAAAGAGGAAGCAAGCAUUGUAAGACCUUUCCACAUAUGGGCGAGUCGGGCCUCAGGUGUUCGGCGGCAAGGAUAUGUCCGUGUACGACGUUCUCCACGAAGGUGAAAUCCACCAGAAGCCUUGCAACAAGGGGUUGCAGUUCUACAAGCAUUGCAGACAACCAUGCCGCUAAUACAGCUAUAAACACGACAGCAAAAGAACAAGAAACAUUCUACGUGGUGCCAUAAUGCUACAGUCGUGGUUUCCACCGCAACAUUUCACGCAUCUACAAAUAAAUUCAUUCAGAUCAAUAUCAAGUAUGAAUGUUGCCUUGGAUGAGAAGUCUGACUUGACUCAGACUCACCCGAUGAUGAACUUCAUCUUGCCCCUGCGAGCUGUAUCAACCAGGAUGGGGACCAGCUGCGGGUCCCGAGGUCCAAAGAUGCCAUGGGGACGGAUGGCAAUGGUGAGGAAACCCUUCUUCUUGUCACAAGCCUCCAGUACCAACUUGGACGCAAACAUGUGAAGAAUUAUGCAUUUGUGUGACAGUGUGGACGCUGAAGGCAAGUGCUUUUUUACUACAAUGUUGUCAAGUGUUUUCUAUUGAGGUUGGAUGAAAUGUGGCAGCAAUACAUGUGAAUAGGAAUUAGGGGUUAGGGUGUCCAGGGUUAAGUUUCAUAGUAGGGUGUUAAACAAAAGUCAACUAGGGUCUAGGGUUACGAACUAGGGUCAGGGUUUUCGAAGUAGAGCUUUAAACUAGAGUUAGGGUUUCAUAGUAGGGUUUAAAACUAGGAUUAAGGUUUCAAAUUAGAAUUAGGGUUUCAAAAUAGGGUUUCAGAUUAAAGUAAGGGUUUCACACUAGGGUUGGUGUUAGGGAUAGGAAUAGGGGGUUGAGGUAUGGUUUAGGGCAGUGGUUCCCAAAGUGGGCGGUACCGCCCCCCUGGGGGCGGUGGAAAGCUCUGGGGGGGCGGUGAGGAAGAAAGGGGCGGUAGGGGGGCGGUAGGGGGGCGGCAGUCGAUUUGUACACAACACGCACGCCGCUCUGGCCCAGUCAGAUACGACAGCAUAGCUAGAAAAGCAAAAGCUCAGGUUUGUAAUUUCAAGCUUGUAAUGUUCAGAAUUUUAUCUUAUAAUAAAAACCGCAUUCUGGCGGUCUACAUCAUCUUGAGUUCAAGUCAACAUGAAAUUGGGGACUCGCCAGAACGCGCCGUGUUGUGUUGUGUUGAGCUGGUUAGGGCAAUGGUCCCCAACCACCGGGCCGCGGCCCGGUACCGGUCCGUGGGUCACUUGGUACCGGGCCGCCAAGCCGCACAGAAUUUUUUUUUUAUCGACGAUCAAUUAAUUCAGGUCAAGACGCUCGUCCCGGUCACGUGACAUGUUUCCCCAGUCGAGCCCGCAAAGCUAAUAUGUGGCGACAGGCUAACUAACCAGGCAGUGAAGCAUUCAAAACUGCUUCAACACAUGGAGACCAAGCAUCCUGCAAUAAAAGACAAACCUUAAAUCACUUCGGGUGUCAUUGUCUCCGAUUACGUCUAGAUGGGACCGGCUCGUUUCUGAGAAACAAACUCAGUGCUCCCACUAAUUCAACGUAAUGGUAAUGAUAUUAUAAAUGUAUUAUUUAUUUAUUUAUAUAAAUGUAUUAUUUAUUUAUAUAAAUGCCGGUCCGCGAAAAUAUUUCUGACAUGUAACCGGU